UACGUAGGGACCAAGCGUUGUUCGGAUUUACUGGGCGUAAAGGGCGCGUAGGCGGCUUAACAAGUCACUUGUGAAAUCUCCGGGCUUAACUCGGAACGGCCAAGUGAAACUGUCAAGCUAGAGUGCAGAAGGGGCAAUCGGAAUUCUUGGUGUAGCGGUGAAAUGCGUAGAUAUCAAGAGGAACACCUGAGGUGAAGACGGGUUGCUGGGCUGACACUGACGCUGAGGCGCGAAGCCAGGGAGCAAACGGG
rnacentral:rRNA from 1 species